UAGAUGUUGCUAUGUAUGAUGAAGGCAACCCGAUUAUGGAAUGGUUGUGCAGUUCUAGGAGUGAAUCAGUGCCGACACUUGAUGAAAAUGAUGAGCCUGAAUCCCCUAACAGACCAAGUGGAUUCGUUUUAGAGGAGUUAGGAGGAUUGAAUGAAGAAGAGAUGGUUCUUUUAAAUUCUAGGAUUGGUUCUGGUAGGAAAAAUGGUAGGAAAAGGAAUGUUGUAGAAGAAGAUAUUGGAGAUGAUUUCUUAUCAGAUAGUAGUGAGGGAGGAGGUAGCCCAACCUACAACGAAUCAGGUGAUAGUGACUCUAAUGAUGGUGAGUUCAAUUUUGAGUUAAUUAUGCACUAUUUGUCAUGUCCUUUUUAUGAUUCAAAUUAUCUUCAAUAUCAUUGUGAAAGGUGGUGGUGAUGACGAAGAUGGUGAAC
rnacentral:misc_RNA from 1 species